rnacentral:rRNA from 1 species
CAUAUAGUAGUGGGAAGAUGGGAUGGAAAGGGAGGGGAAGUGUAUCCGUGCAUACUACGCCAAUUCGCGGGGUCCUCCUCAGGUGACUAGAUUGUAUGGUGACUGCAGGCAGCCUUUGUUACUGCACUAUAGAUCCUAAAGCGACCUGUUUGUGUGGUGAAUGCUGGCUGCCUCAAUUGAAGAUAGGGAGUCGAUUGCACUAGACAUAAGCAUUCUGGCAUAGGGUGUACUAGGCUUGUGUGUGGUAAGCACCUAGCACCUGCGAUGUAUGGCUGGACAUGUGAUCAUGCAUUUCCGAUAUUGUGGCCAUUGCGCAUAUUACUGAUUACUAUUACUGCAUUGUACUAUGAUGUAUUGGUUCUGUGUACGUGAUAGACUGCUGGGAGCAGGGGCAAUGUUCUGAAGAUUUUGUGGUUUGGUUGGCAGUAGAAAAAUGCUAUGUGGGUGGAAGUGGGUAGAGGUGCUGGAGGCUGUGUUAUGUUUGUGGAUUUUGCUAACUACCUACAUGUUUUGAGAAAGAAGGAUCCGCGCCUUGAGAAGCGUUGCAGUUCUGGCAGCGUCCGGUCAGCUCUUGCUGGUCCUUGCAGAUCCAGGGGAGAUUGUGUAAUUCUUGUGCAGGGCUAUACCCAUAUUAGCAGCAGGACUCCAAGGUGAACAGCCUCAGGCAUAUUGGAACAAUGUAGGUAAGGGAAGUCGGCAAGUCAGAUCCAUAACUUCAGGAUAAGGAUUGGCUCUAAGUGCUGGGUUGGUUGGGCUGGUGGUGUGAAGCGGGGCUGGGUGCGUACCAUGGCUGGAUGAGGCAUCUCCCCCCCAGGGCAGCACUGACUUGAGAUGGGAGCCAGACCUUUCCUGUGGAUCGCCCAAUCUGUGAUGGGCGCCUCUCUCCAUUCCUCUGCCGUGGUUCGGGCCGGCAUUCUGCCUUGGCCGACACCUUACAACUGGUGCGGACCAGGGCAAUACGACUGUUUUAUUUAAACAAAUCACCACUAAGGACCACAGUGGGUGUUGACAUGAUGUGAUUUCUGCCCAGUACUCGACUGUCAAAGUGAAGAAAUUCAAUGAAGCGUGGGUAAACGGCAGCAGUAACUAUGACUCUCUUAACCUUUCUUAGUCAUGGUGGCCCCUACCUCUGCGUGGUACCGCUGUUAACUAUCCCUGUUGACUGAGUCCUGUCUACGAGGAGUCUGUUUGGGCAUAGACAAAAAGGGUAUAACAUCUCCACCUAUUCUGACCAUGGUCUGGUAGCUAGGUGUGCUAAGAGAAAUGGUGCAUCAAAACCAACCCAUUCCAGAUGAGGUAUUCCCUGGUUUAAACACAACCUUGUUAGGAAGACGUGGUUGCUUCCUUUCACAAAACCAAACCCUGCACUUGUAUUGACAGACUAAGAUCAAGAUUGAGCUGAGAGAGAAGGAAGACACAGAUGGGCAUCGUAUAUCACUUACAAGGCAUGCUCAGCAAUCCAGUCUAGCUGGUGAUCCAUAAGGCGUCAAGAUCUCAGGCUGGAGGCAUGAAGAGAUCGACAGAUGACUGCCCAGAGAUGGCCUUGCUAUCGAGAGAAGACUGCCAACAUUCAUGAAUCAGAUAGAGCACUCCAGGUUGCCUGUCGGACGUAGGAUGUGUGACGAGCUCCAUAGUCUGGACGGUUACUGAACGUCACAACCAUGUCGGGGUAACUGCACCCCUAAUCCAUGCUCUCUUGAGACCCACUCCUAAAUUGAUUCUGUUGAGUAAUCCAGAAUCAGACUCUGAUCUAUUAUCCCUUAUGGUUGUUUUGGACCGUGACUCCAACAGUGUCCCUGGACUCCAAUAUUGUGGACUUAUGCAAAUGUUUAAUUGUGUAUAUAUGUAAAUGUUAUGAGAUGUCUCAAGUGAUUUAUUGUAACAUAUAUGUUCAACUGUUGUAUGUACUGCACCAGGUAUGCUUGUAGUAUGCUUUGGUGUUGUGCAUGAUUAUGCCCUCAUCUUGUUAAAAAACAAUAAAAAUGUCAGCUGACGGGCAGCCAUUAACCCGGAAUGAGCCACUCCGGUGGUCAAAAAUAGCCAAAUCCCUUGUCAUCUAAUUAGUGAUGUGCAUGAACAGAUGAACGAGAUACCCACUGUCCCUAUCUACUAUCUAGCAAAACCACAUCCGCAGGAACAGGCUUGGCAGACUCAGCAAGGAAAGAUGACCACAUGGAGCACUUAUUGCUUUUUCACUUACCCAGUGAGGCAGGGAGGCGAGCCGCGUGGGGUUCUCUCUUCUGGCUCUAAGAGCCCUCACUCACUGUGCGUGACUGGGGACAGUGGCAGGUUGGGAUUUUGACUGGGGUCAAACGAUAACACAGGUGUCCUAAAGUGAGCUGAGGGAGGACAGAAACCUCCCAUGGAGCACAAGGGCAAAAUAUCGCUUGAUCUUGAUUUUCAGUAUGAAUACAGACCAGGAAAGCAGAGCCUUGCAAUCCUUCUGACCUUUUGGGUUUCAAGCAGAAGGUGUCCGAAAAGUUACCAAUGUGAUAACUUACUUGUGGCGGCUAAGCGUUUAUAGUGAUGUCGCUUUUUGCUCCUUCAAUGUCAGCUCUUCCUAUCAUUGUGAAGCAAAAUUCACCAAGCUUUGGAUUUUUCACCCAAUAAUAAGGAAUGUGAGCUGAGUUUAGACUGUCGUGAGACAGGUUAAUUUUACCUUACUGACGAUGUGUUGUUGCAAUAUUAAUCUUGCUCAGUACGAGAGGAACCUCAGGUUCCGACAUUUGGUGUAUCUGCUUGGCUGAGUAGCCAAUGGGGUGAAGCUACCAUCUGGUGGAUUAUGACUGAAUGCUUCUAAGUCAGAAUCCUCCCUAAACUGCAAUGAUACCACAGCACUGUGGAGCCUCAGUUGGCCUAGGAUAGCCAGACUCUGGGCUGGUGCAUAGAGACGCUUGCCUGCGGACUUGAGUAUGGACAGUAAAAAGGGCCACCUCUCUUGCCGUAGUGAACCACAUGUUCAUGUGGAACCUGGUGCCAAAUCAUUCAUAGACAACCUGAUUCUGGGUCAGGGUUUUGUAAGUAGCAAAGAAGCUACCUCGCUGCGAUCUAUUGAGCCAAGCGUUUGUCAAAAUGCGCUGCGGUGGUG